GGAAUAGAAUGGCUAGUUUUAACGCGAAGGUGAACGGCGGCGAGGUGAGCCGUGGAUCAGAAUCGCCGCUGCCCGUCUGAUCCGUGGAUCGGAAAGUUCGCUUUCCGUCUCGUGGGCACUGUGACGAAUUGAAUGCAGGGGCGAGUGUCUUGGCAGUUGAGGAGUACGGGAUAGAGGUGCGGACCGCCGGCGGCGAGGCACCAUGGACUUUCUGAUGCACGUCGGCUGAUCCCCUCUGCUUGAGGAGGUCGGGGAGAGUUUGGUCCCCGCCCCUGUGCGUGCGGAAGGAAGUUGUGGCAGGGCCGACGGCGCCGCAGCAGCACGCGGCUGCACACAGCGGCGAAGUACAUAUCUUCACGGCGGAGGGAAGGGAGAGGUCACCGCGGACAUCGGAGCUGUCAACGGGGAGGAUGAAUCCUCAGGCGCCCGGAUGGAACCAGAGCAGACGCAAGGUAAAUCUAGGUAGACACGACGCACCUGGAAAGCCAGCGAUGGAUGGACCGGCAAGAACGAUUGCCACCGCAAGGAGCGAGGUGUUCGGCACGGCCCAGCGGUUCCCUACUCCGUGGAUCUAGAGUGUGCUGCAUAUUCAGUAGUAUUUUCCUUCUUGCUUAUUUCCAAUGUGCACAAUACCAUCCUCUCAACUAUGUGUAAAUCCGACUAAGUUUGCUUUCCUUCUUGCUUACCGUGUUAAAUGGCAAAAGCACAUUGGAGCCUCCUCACGGUGCAUAUUCAGUAGUAUUUUCCUUCUUGCUUAUUUCCAAUGUGCUUUUGCCAUUUACCGCGGUAAUGCAUUUCAGGAUAGGAAUAACAUUAUCAAAAGCUUGAAGGGGAAGAUUAUGAAGCUCGCUCUCAGUGAUUAUGUAUGCCUUUUUGUUGUUUGUCUUCUAUCCAUUGUUGAUAACACAAAACUUGUUACUGAGAUUAUAAUUGAAGAGCUGACAAAGCAAUUAAAGGAACUCACAUUUGACAAGGUAAAAGGAAUUCCAAGGAUCUGAUGUGCUUAUUUUUAAUUGUUAGUUAUAUUCACAUGAAACUAUUUAUGAUGGAGCUCCUUGCUGGAACAGAAUGGCACAUUGCUGCAGAUGUUUCACCCACAUGGCUCACGUUAUCUGACUCCGACUGAUUUGGUUUAUCUGAAUUACAACGUAGCUUCCCUUAUUUCAAAGGCAAAUUACAUAUUCUAUUAACUCUUAAGUACUUUGAAGAGAAACAGGCCCCCAGAAAAUUGCUUUUUUUGUUUCAGGAUGAGGCAUCAGUUAACUUGGAUAAUGUAACUGACAAAGAACAUGAGGAUUCAUAAGACACACAGGUUGCAUCUGAUAGCAAGAAGGACCCGAUUAAAUGGCAGCCAGAACUGUUGGUGAAAAGAGAGCUUUGUGAGAUGAAUAUACGUUGAAUGGUGCGAAUCUUAGCGGGAGCUGACGGCAAAGAUAUGGAGCUCAUAUGAGCUCGAGCUCAGAAUAGCAUUUUCGCGGUGGCAGGAUGAUGCUUUAAGAGAAGUCGAGAGAUGCUGCAAUGUUCUGUUACUCGAUUGGAAUUUACAGUGCAUUUAUUGUACACUUUUAGUUUGCCUUGUUUUACUGUGUCAAUAUUUCGCACUACACUCGCUUUGCUAGUUGGAUCUUGAAACACAGUAUAUAUCAGUUGCAUUUUUCUCUCGCUUUCACGCUCA